GGAUGAACGCUGGCGGCGUGCCUAAUCCAUGCAAGUCGAGCGAACGGCCGAGAAGCUUGCUUCUCUGAUGUUAGCGGCGGACGGGUGAGUAACACGUGGAUAACCUACCUAUAAGACUGGGAUAACUUCGGGAAACCGUAGCUAAUACCGGAUAAUAUUUUGAACCGCAUGGUUCAAAAGUGAAAGACGGUCUUGCUGUCACUUAUAGAUGGAUCCGCGCUGCAUUAGCUAGUUGGUAAGGUAACGGCUUACCAAGGCAACGAUGCAUAGCCGACCUGAGAGGGUGAUCGGCCACACUGGAACUGAGACACGGUCCAGACUCCUACGGGAGGCAGCAGUAGGGAAUCUUCCGCAAUGGGCGAAAGCCUGACGGAGCAACGCCGCGUGAGUGAUGAAGGUCUUCGGAUCGUAAAACUCUGUUAUUAGGGAAGAACAUAUGUGUAAGUAACUGUGCACAUCUUGACGGUACCGAAGCAGAAAGCCACGGCUAACUACGU
rnacentral:rRNA from 1 species